GACAGAGGGUGCAAACGUUGUUCGGAAUUACUGGGCGUAAAGGGCUCGUAGGCGGCCAACUAAGUCAGACGUGAAAUCCCUCGGCUUAACCGGGGAACUGCGUCUGAUACUGGAUGGCUUGAGUUUGGGAGAGGGAAGUGGAAUUUCAGGUGUAGCGGUGAAAUGCGUAGAUAUCUGAAGGAACAUCAGUGGCGAAAGCGACUUCCUGGACCAAUACUGACGCUCAUGUGCGAAAGCGUGGGGAGCAAACAGG
rnacentral:rRNA from 1 species